rnacentral:rRNA from 1 species
AUUGAACGCUGGCGGCAGGCUUAACACAUGCAAGUCGAGCGGGGUGAUGGUGCUUGCACUAUCACUUAGCGGCGGACGGGUGAGUAACGCUUAGGAAUCUGCCUAUUAGUGGGGGACAACAUCUCGAAAGGGAUGCUAAUACCGCAUACGUCCUACGGGAGAAAGCAGGGGAUCACUUGUGACCUUGCGCUAAUAGAUGAGCCUAAGUCGGAUUAGCUAGUUGGUGGGGUAAAGGCCUACCAAGGCGACGAUCUGUAGCGGGUCUGAGAGGAUGAUCCGCCACACUGGGACUGAGACACGGCCCAGACUCCUACGGGAGGCAGCAGUGGGGAAUAUUCGACAAUGGGGGGAACCCUGAUCCAGCCAUGCCGCGUGUGUGAAGAAGGCCUUAUGGUUGUAAAGCACUUUAAGCGAGGAGGAGGCUCUUUUGGUUAAUACCCAAGAUGAGUGGACGUUACUCGCAGAAUAAGCACCGGCUAACUCUGUGCCAGCCGCCGCGGUAA